GACAAUGGCUCCUGCUCUCGACUGCAUGGCGAGAGCGGCGGGUUCCGUGGGCAUUUGUGUGACGCGACCCAAUUCCGCCUCCCCUGAUUUCACGGCGCCUGGAGGCAACCUCUCCUAUUCUCACCCCAUGGUGACCUCCCCCAGCACAAUGGCACUGCCCGUGUCUGCUUUUGUCUCCAGCUUGAGCUGCGCGGGCACGGGUAGCUGCUGAGUCUGCCCUGUGUUCUUUGGAGUGAAGGUGGAAGUGCAAAGGACCAGCACCGUGCCCAGUUUCAUGGGGCUCAGAGCCUGCCUGUCCCAGUUGAUUGUCACAGACGACCUGAAAAGAACUUAAUGAGGACACGCUGGAGCCGGGGGAGGCUGCAGGCAAUGGUGGGGGCUGGAAGAAGCGCUUGCUCCACUGGGGCUGCAAACUGCAGGUUCCCCAAAUUUUAACAUCCGCUGGUUGCUGUCUCCUCCUCCUGCCUCAGGGCUUCCAAAGCCUGGUUCAGUCUUCUGAAGAGAUGGAAUAUCUCCGCUGUGCUUCAGAUGUCCCUCCAAAAAGCAGGCAGGCAGUGUUGGCCACUCAACACAGCUCUUCAUGGAGUGCCGUGGUUCCGCAGUUGAGACGAACGUGGACUAAAUACCAUGUAAAAACAGUUUUUCCCCAUAGUCCCGCUUCACCCUCCCCUUUGGUUUCCUUGUGGGUUUCAGGGAGAAAAAUUCACUCUAUGAGUGUUUUAUGCUUUUAAUUUCAGCUAUGCUUGUAUUUAUGAUUGCCUGUGUGAGUUUAGGGCUUGUCUUUCUUUGUUUCUCUGUGUUUUAACUUUGUUCUUUCCCCUCCGCGGGGGUGGGGGGUGCGGUGAGACAGAGGCCAUGGCAGCACGGAUGCGAUCUCCCUGCCUUCUCUCUCUCUCUGUCUUUCGCCGUGCCCAGCCCUCUUUCUCCCUGCGGUGGCAGCGGGACGGGGUCAGACUCUUCCCCCCUCCCUUUUCUGUUUUCCCUACGAGCAAUUCUCUCCCCACUGCGGAGGUGCUGCCCGCCCCGCCCCCGACUUCCUCUCCAGCUUUCUGGCGGGCGCCCACGGUUUCUCUCUGACGCGCUCUCCCUGUUUUCUCCCUCUCUUGGUUUUCCCCCUUCCCGCAGGUGCGAGGGGCCGGAGGGGGGGCGCUGGUCCCUUCCUUUCCCCGCGUGGUGCAGCUGAGACGGGCAGCUUGGAGCUGCUUUGUGGCUUCGUUCCCCCCCUUCCCCUCAGGAAGUGAAGGGGGGCCGCCGGCUCUCCGCUCGAAAGAGGCAGCAGCGGGCAGGCGGCAGGAGAGGGCCGAGCCCACCCGGUUGCCCCUUCCCCAUUUCUCCCGCCGUGUGCAGUGGCAGUGAGAGCAGGGGCAGCACCCCGCCCCCUGCCCCCCCGGGGAACACAUUUCGUGACAGCCGCCGCUGUUUUCAUUUCCUUCCUGCGUGAAUUUGCACAGGAAGCUUCAUAGGAAUGGCCGGAGCAAUUUUCUCGCUCCUUUCCCCCCUUCUCCCCCCGCCAUGAGCGGCGGGGUUUGCUCCCCCCCUCCUUCCCUGCCCGCCGAGCGACGCUGCGAAUAGGGCAUGAGGCGGCAUUUUGUCGUUUCUACACAGCUUAUUAUGCUGUGGGAGUGCUUUGCUUGAAAUUUAAGGUAUAGUUUCAUUUUUUUAACAGAAAUGGGGGCCACGUUUGUUUGGAUUUCCUCCUCCCCCGUGGAGCUGCAGCCAUGCGGGGGGGCCCUGGGGCCUCUGAAGCCCCCAAAGCCCCACUCAGGGCAGGGCAAAAAUAGCUCCGCUGCCUUUAAGGCAAGCGGACGUUUUUCCCUUUAAAGGGACAGUUGAUUUUUUGUUUGGG